UGGCCCGUUUGCAAUCUGUUCUCGGUAACUGGGCUAAGUUUUUUUUUUCUUUAUUAGAGUUAUAACUGAGCUAUACGUUUAUUUCUGAACCUAUUUUACAAGUUGUAUGUCGAAAAUAUCCCCACAAUUUGUUUUAUUCCCUUAAAAAUUAUAUCCAAAAUAACUGUAUAAAGUAGAGAGCAUAUCAGGUCAAACAUCUAUUCGGUCAAAACUUGAAAACUUUUAAUUCUAGCUAUAAAUGUCAAAUGAACGGACCAGAUGAUGAAAGGUGGAACAUCUAAUCACCUAAACGCAUUGUAUGAAAACUCUAGACCAGAUGAAAGUUGC
rnacentral:lncRNA from 1 species